UCCCCAUAUCCCCUCCAAGAGCACAGCCCUCUAGUGACCUAACCUCCUGACGAGGCUCUCCUAGCUGAAAGUUCUAGCACCUCCUGAUAGUGUCACAGACUGGGGACCGUGUCUUCAGCACAGUAGCUCCAUUUGAAAGCUAAACCAUCACGGUGUUACAAUUUAUGAAGUGUUCCUAAAAAGGCAGAUGUGUUGAAGGCUUGGACCCCAGCUGGUGGCCCUAGAGGGAGAUGAUGGGAUCCUGAGGCCAUUGCCCAUGGUUGAGUUCUCACUGAAUGACUGAUAGGAGCCCCCUGGUUGGAAAAGUCACUGAGCAUGUGCCUUCUUGUCCGUGUCCCUUUCUGUCUGUCAGUCUCUCUGCUUCCUGGCUGCACAAGGCCAGCAGUUUUCCUCUGUUGUGUCCUUAUGCUGUGAUGUUUCUGCCUGGCCAUGGGCCUCGAGCAAUGGAGCCAGCUGAUCGUAGACACCUCUGAAGCUGUGGGCCGAGGAGCUCGAGUUCGCCACAUUUGCCUUUGAGCUGCCCAGACAGAUCCUUUUGUCUGCCUUGUUCUCCUCUCGUCCCCUCUCGGUUGCUUCAGCACUUUACAGAUGCAAUUGACAGGCUGGUCCACGUUACUCAGGUCGGCUAUUCAUGGACAGCUGAACAAAGCACCAUCGGGCAUCCUCAAAGGCUCCUGUGAGCCAGUCCACAGGGACUGAUAGCCCUCUUACUGCCUCAGGUCAUCAGCUUCGGCACUCAGGCUGACCUCGCCCACCCUCGCGUGCCGCAACCACCAUCAGGUGCCAGUUAUUCAGUGUGACUCUUCUGGGAAGAUCUGAAUGAACACCUUUUUCCUCCAGACUGGGCAUCAAUGACAGAUGGAGAAAUGAUGUCACCCAAGUCUACUUUAGUGAACCAGUGAGUUCAUUGGAGUGUCUGACUCAAAGAUAGCUGUGUCCAAGCUGGGCGGUGGUGGUGGUGGCACACGCCUUUUAGUCCCAGUACUUGGGAGACAGAGGCAAGUGGAUCUCUGUGAGUUCAAGGCCAGCCUGGGCUACAGAGUGAG